ensembl:lncRNA
ACUUCUCAAAAUGGUGAGCACAUGUGCUUUUACUAAACACGCCGGCAGGAAAUGUUGCUUUCAAGCAAGCACCUCAACGUAUCAUGAAUGUGCAACAGAAUAACUGAGGUGGUUACCGUUCCCUGCCGAUAUAUGGACAAGCACAAGCAUCACAGUGAGCUGCUGAUGGAAUUCUUGGUAAGCAGGAGGAAUAAAGAGGGGGUAAUCCUGUCAACAUGGAGUGACGAAAUGGGGGACACAUUGCGUGUUCUGACGUGGAGUCUGGAUAAGGAUUACACAGAGCUGACUUUACACACCUUCUCACUGAUGAGGGAAUUCCAUCCAGGAUUAUGAUGCACAUCAUUUACACAGACACACACACACACCCUACUACACUAUGCCACAUGGCAAAAAAAAAUAAAAAUUUCUGGGUCUCAUUCA